GUGGCGAACGGGUGAGUAACACGUGGGCAAUCUGCCCUUCACUCUGGGACAAGCCCUGGAAACGGGGUCUAAUACCGGAUAACACUCCUACUCGCAUGGGUGGGGGUUGAAAGCUCCGGCGGUGAAGGAUGAGCCCGCGGCCUAUCAGCUUGUUGGUGAGGUAGUGGCUCACCAAGGCGACGACGGGUAGCCGGCCUGAGAGGGCGACCGGCCACACUGGGACUGAGACACGGCCCAGACUCCUACGGGAGGCAGCAGUGGGGAAUAUUGCACAAUGGGCGAAAGCCUGAUGCAGCGACGCCGCGUGAGGGAUGACGGCCUUCGGGUUGUAAACCUCUUUCAGCAGGGAAGAAGCGAAAGUGACGGUACCUGCAGAAGAAGCGCCGGCUAACUACGUGCCAGCAGCCGCGGUAAUACGUAGGGCGCAAGCGUUGUCCGGAAUUAUUGGGCGUAAAGAGCUCGUAGGCGGUCUGUCGCGUCGGAUGUGAAAGCCCGGGGCUUAACCCCGGGUCUGCAUUCGAUACGGGCAGACUAGAGUGUGGUAGGGGAGAUCGGAAUUCCUGGUGUAGCGGUGAAAUGCGCAGAUAUCAGGAGGAACACCGGUGGCGAAGGCGGAUCUCUGGGCCAUUACUGACGCUGAGGAGCGAAAGCGUGGGGAGCGAACAGGAUUAGAUACCCUGGUAGUCCACGCCGUAAACGGUGGGAACUAGGUGUUGGCGACAUUCCACGUCGUCGGUGCCGCAGCUAACG
rnacentral:rRNA from 1 species